AUGGGCGACUUCGACUGUGGCGCCAUCGACUGCGGCGACUGUGGCGACCUUGACUGUGGCGACUGCUGCGAUGAGUGCUUCGACUGCUGCGAUGAGCCGUGCUUCUGCUUCGUCUGCUUCUCGGAUGCCAUCAGCGGCAAGGCACUCCUCCGCAUCGUCUGUGGUCUCGUGAUCUUCGCCGUCCUCGCCGCCGUGGUCACGCUGCUCGUCAUCGCCCUCGUCCCCCGCCGCGUCGGCAUCAGCGUGGAGGACGCGGCCCUCUCCCGCCUCGCCCUCGCCGACAAGAACGCCACGGCCACUGCGCUCGCCUACGACAUCUCCAUCGCCGUCGCCGUCCACAACGGGAAUUUGAUCAUGCCCGCCGAACACACCGCGCCGCUCUACGCGGAUCUGCUCUUCGACGGCGCCCGCUUCGCCCGCGUCGGACUGGCGACCGCAGGGGCCGUGGUCCGACCGCGGCGCAGGGAAGUGUACCGCGCCACGGCGGCGGCCGACAGCGCGAGCGUCGCGCUGGGGAGCGCAGGAGUGGCCGACUUCCUCCAGCAGUCCGAAGCGGGGGAGUUCCAGCUCGAGGUGAAGCUUGUCGGCGAGGUCAUGUACCAGCCACACCACAAGAAGCACAGGCUGGACGCGAUCUGCCGGCUAGAGUUGGCUCUGUCAACGGCAACGUCGCCGGCGAUGUUCAAGAAGGUCAAGUGCGAAGUUCAGAAAGGUCCUGGUGGCCAUUGA
rnacentral:rRNA from 1 species